UACGGUAGGCAGCGAGCGUUGUUCGGAGUUACUGGGCGUAAAGAGUGCGUAGGCGGUUUUCUAAGUUUGGUGUGAAAUCUCCCGGCUUAACUGGGAGGGUGCGCCGAAGACUGGAAGGCUUGAGUAUGGGAGAGGUAAGCGGAAUUCCUGGUGUAGCGGUGAAAUGCGUAGAUAUCAGGAGGAACACCGGUGGCGAAGGCGGUCUGCUGGGCGGUGAACUCGCAAGAGUUCAAUAGCCGACACUGAGGCGCGACAGCGUGGGGAGCAAACAGG
rnacentral:rRNA from 1 species